CGCGAAACCUUUACAAUGCACGACAGUGUGAUAAGGGUACUCGGAGUGCUAACACAUUGUGUUGGCUUUUGCCAAUGGUAAAUACAUUGGCGAAUAAGGGGUGGGUAAGACUGGUGCCAGCCGCCGCGGUAACACCAGCGCCCCAAGUGGGAAUCAGUAUUAUUGGGCUUAAAGCGUUCGUAGCCGGUCAAGUAAAUCCUUUGUGAAAUCGUUGCCCUCAAUGCAACGGCGUGCAGAGGACACUGCUUGACUAGGAACCGGGAGGGGUCAGGAGUAUGCUAGGU
rnacentral:rRNA from 1 species